rnacentral:rRNA from 1 species
UACAGAGGUCUCAAGCGUUGUUCGGAUUCAUUGGGCGUAAAGGGUGCGUAGGCGGCGCGGUAAGUCGGGUGUGAAAUCUCGGAGCUUAACUCCGAAACUGCAUUCGAUACUGCCGUGCUUGAGGACUGGAGAGGAGACUGGAAUUUACGGUGUAGCGGUGAAAUGCGCAGAUAUCAGGAGGAACACCGGUGGCGAAGGCGGCAUACUGGCCCAUUACUGACGCUGAGGCUCGAAAGCGUGGGGAGCAAACAGG